CCUACGGGAGGCAGCAGUGGGGAAUCUUGCGCAAUGGGCGAAAGCCUGACGCAGCAACGCCGCGUGCGGGAAGAAGGCUUUCGGGCUGUAAACCGCUUUCAGCAGGAACGAAAAUGACGGUACCUGCAGAAGAAGGAGCGGCCAACUAUGUGCCAGCAGCCGCGGCGAUACAUAGGCUUCAAGCGUUGUCCGGAUUUAUUGGGCGUAAAGAGUUCGUAGGCGGUCGAGUAAGUCGGGUGUGAAAAUUCUGGGCUCAACCCAGAGACGCCACCCGAUACUGCUUAACUUGAGUUCGAUAGGGGAGUGGGGAAUUCCUAGUGUAGCGGUGAAAUGCGCAGAUAUUAGGAGGAACACCGGUGGCGAAGGCGCCACUCUGGAUCGAUACUGACGCUGAGGAACGAAAGCAUGGGUAGCAAACAGGAUUAGAUACCCUGGUAGUCCAUGCCGUAAACGGUGGGCACUAGGUGUGGGAUUCUAUUAACGAAUUCCGCGCCGUCGCUAACGCAUUAAGUGCCCCGCCUGGGGAGUACGGUCGCAAAGACUAAAACUCAAAGGAAUUGACGGCUUGAGAGUUGCGAGGCGACGACGAGGGAGAGG
rnacentral:rRNA from 1 species